GAUCCAGGUCAGGUCCCCUGCUUGAUCAAGGAGAGCUUUACGCAAUGAGCCAUCUCCCCAGGCCUGGCCACAUUCGAGAUUUCUUAUUCAUAUUGUCAAGACUUCUUUUUGCACUCUCCUCCGGCGGCCAGCCAUGAGCAGUGCCGUUUAACUAACAUUGAUGCCGUUCAGACUUGGAUACACCACCAAGCACCGAGGACCUGCUGUGACCGCUGCCGCCUGCCGCCUCCUCCCCCAUCCAGUGAGACCACAAGACCACGAGUGUGUCCCUCGCCGCCUCCGCUGGACCCACACACAGCUACCACUGCCAUCACCACGCUUUUUUCUGUGUCACCAGCAUCUUGUCAAACAGAAAGUUCCCAGCCACAGCCAAGAGGGAUACAUGUCUCCAGAGCAAAUGGAUGACAGACAGCAUUCCACAACGCCUGUGUACCUCGGAAGAAUCCCCCAAGAGCCAACCGACGUCCAAGAAUCAGCUGGAAGCAGUCUUUGAGAGGAACGAUGUUCCUCUCAAAACGACAUUCCCACCUACCUGCUUUUUUUUUUAUAAUAAGCAAAAGUCUGGGAUGUAAGGAUUCUGUCCUUAAUUACGUCACCAGCCUGCGACGGCGUCCCAGCCUAAAAAGCGGGCGUGCCUUCUGUGCGCCCCUUCUUCUCUUUCCACUCUCUCUCUGUCCAUCUGUCCUCUCUCUCUCUCUCU